rnacentral:lncRNA from 1 species
GAAGGCUAUGGAGCCAACAGUGAUGCCACUCAAGCAGGGUUAGGUUCUUCACAAGGUCACACUGCCACUGAUUCAGCACCAUCGGAUUUUCCAGAAGAUGCACCUUCAAGUUCCGAAUGUGACGCACUGCCAGCUUGUUCAACAGCUUGUUCAGCAGGUGUGGAAACCACCCAUGAAUCGAGCUGCCAGCCAUUUCAAGCUUUGACGGUGCCUGUUGAGUGUGAGUGAAAUUUCUGUUCAGUAUCAUAUACAUUUUUUAAUUUUAGUCACUGGCCAUCCC